rnacentral:rRNA from 1 species
GCCAGACUCCUACGGGAGGCAGCAGUGGGGGAUAUUGGACAAUGGGGGAAACCCUGAUCCAGCGAUGCCGCGUGAGGGAAGAAGGUUUUCGGAUUGUAAACCUCUGUGGACAGGGACGAUAAUGACGGUACCUGUCAAGAAAGCCACGGCUAACUACGUGCCAGCAGCCGCGGUAAUACGUAGGUGGCGAGCGUUGUCCGGAAUUACUGGGUGUAAAGGGAGCGCAGGCGGCGCGUUAAGCCUGGUGUGAAAGCCCGCGGCCCAACCGCGGGACUGCAUUGGGAACUGGCACGCUGGAGUGCCGGAGGGGUAGGCGGAAUUCCUAGUGUAGCGGUGAAAUGCGUAGAUAUUAGGAGGAACACCAGUGGCGAAGGCGGCCUACUGGACGGUGACUGACGCUGAGGCUCGAAAGCGUGGGGAGCAAACAGGAUUAGAUACCCCGGUACAA